rnacentral:lncRNA from 1 species
UUAGAAACAAGGCUUCACACUGAAAAGUUAAAUAGUAUAUUUUAUGAUGUUAUGAACUUUUUAACAAUAGAGAAAUCAUGUGUCCGUCAAGCCGAAAAGGUAUCCUCUGAUAACAAACGGGCAAUGAGAAAGAAAAGAAUACAUGUCACCUUAAUUCAAAAUAUCUAAAAAUUGGAAAAAUGGAACAUGGCAUUUCCUGCAUAAUAUUUUUAUGUAGCAUGCCUAAAUAUAAACAUGAAAUUCACUAUGCAAUCUGGACACAUAAAAUUGGAAGAGAGAAUAUAUUUAAAGCUGAUUUCUUGAAAUAUCAUGAAACUGCAAAUCAUGAUUUAACGCUUCUCAUCCAUCGACUUCCAUACAAAUGAUUAGCUGAAGAGUGAUAAUUAUCCCAUGUUUCCAUUGUUCCUGAACAAUUGAGGCAGGAUUUUGGAAGAAAUUUGUGAGACUUGACGUGCAAAGAAGCAAAACAGAAUGAAAAAGUUGUUGAAAACAUAUAGUGGACUCCCCAAACUAAGUAAUGUAGGGAAUUCUAUGAAAAAUUAGAAAGAUUUGGUUCUGUUUUUAGCAGUGAAAAGAGAACAUUUUGAACGGGUUUGUGAAAUGUUCGUUGCCUGCUUGAUAUUUUAAAUUAGUGUACUGGAAAGACGUGAUAAAGGAAAACAAGAUUGAAGACAUUUGCAGCUGGAGCAGUAUUUUGAUCACUCUAAACAAUUGUUCUGUUACUAUCCACCAGAGAUCAUUCUUAUUAACAGGGUUUUUAGGCACUCCCUCACACUUGUAUACAAUGAUUCAUAAAAAAUCAGUCAGUGGACAACUUCCUGUACACUUAGGAGGAAGGAGAAAAGGAUUUUAAUAUACAUCGCAACAGAACCCAAAAAAAUUCUAGUAGUUGAAGUAAAACUUUAUAAAACUAUUGGCACAAUUCAAGCUGUUUUAACUGUUGUGGAUGUCCAAUAGGGAAACUUAUUCAAACAACUGAAGUUUUGCUGUCCAAAUCUCGCACAAGGAGUUCUAUGACAGCAUAAUGUUAUCUAACUAUUUUGCACAAUCAGUGAAAAUAUCAGAGAGAAAGUGGGGACAAAUUUUACAGUAGAAUGCUUGCAUAAAUAUUUCAUGUUGCAUGGUAAAAGCUAUAACAAAGUACAAGACUACGAAUUAGAGAAGUGCAUUAAUAAAUUUGAGUUCCAUAAAAAUUCAACAGCAGCUACCUUAGUGUAGAAGUCUCUGAAUUUGGUGAGGCGUCCUUUUGUUUGGUUAUAAGCAUCAAUAAAUAAUCAAGAGCACCAUUUAAACUUGUCCUUCAAUUUUCUGUAGACCUUUUUAUGAUGUUGGUAGCUGGGAUAAAAGUAAUAUAACUUCAGAUGACCAUAUUAUCUGUACUCUAAAUCAUUUGGCAACAGUAUGAUAUUAUUUUUUUCCCCACGACACCAUGGCUUCCCAGUAUUUAGAACAUUUGAGUAAAUUCAAAGAGCUUGACAAGAGAGAAGUGCCCUUAACUCUAGGGAACAAAUUAUUGCCACCAACCGAUUAGCCUUCGACUUUUACAAACCAACACCGGCAACUGCCCAUUGCAAAUUUAAUUCUUCAGAAACACUUAUAAUAUCACCAACAGAACCCAAAUUAAUUCCAGUGGUUUUUCACAAAGCAUUGAAAAGUUAGUUUCUUUCUCAGCUUUACGACUCUUUUAGCCCUGCAACUCCUGAUUUUUAUAACCUAAACUUCCUCAUUUCAUUGUAGAUCACUAUAAAGGAACAAUGUAUGCCAUUCAAGUUGCCACAUAGCUUCCAAAAGGCUAUUUGCAAAAUUCUUGUUCAGCACUCCUUGAGAUUUUCUGUAUGGAACUUAUAUAUGAUCCUGAAACAGAUUUCAACUUAUUCAAAAGUGAAUAUUCACACGCGUUCAAAUCAUUUUCAAUUUUUGACAGUGUGGCUAUAAGAACGAAAUUCUCCCCAUUCCCAACAUCAAUCUCAUAUAACUCCUCAAAAACUUCGUCAAACUCACUAAUUAACCUCUUGAAAAACAACUUACUUGAAGGAAUCACAUUUAUGAUAAGAACACCAAGCUCGCAAAGAACCUCUCUUGCAGCCAGAAGAACUGACUUCGUAACAAACUCCGAAGGUGGGGCGGAAACGCCCAGUGUUGCAUCACUCGAAUCCAAAUCAACCAUGAUCAUAUCAAACUUGCAAUAAGCAGUUAUAUUCUUCGCAAGUUUUUCAACAAGUUCUAUCCCAUCUCCAACGAUUAAGUGAAUCAAUUCAUUGCUUUCUAAUCCAAAAUACUUUUUCGCUACUUGCAGUACAACUUCAUCAUUCUCCACUCCGGUGACAUCAAAAUUCAAUUGGGAACUCAAAAAUCCAAGCAAUGCACCACCACCGAUCCCCAGACACAAAGCUUUCGGCCUAAUCCCACCCUUGAUUCGACUUUCCAGAUGAGGUACAAUUACCGAAAGGCCUCCUACCAUGGGACUCAAAUAUGGAUGAACCAGAACAUUAUUAUCUAUUACAAACUCCAAGUCAUCUAAUUCUCUAGAAUUCCAUUCAUUUUUCGGAAGAAUUCUCAUCUGGGUUUGCACUAAAUUUGGCAUUCUCUUAAACCUCAAUCUCCUCCUAAACUCUUUAGUGGAAUUAGUUUCCACCACAACAUUUUCUAUUAGCAUUUCACCAGCACAAGGCCCUUCACAUAUUUCCAAAAUCGCGCAUCCAGUCACCUCGUCUUCAUAAAUCAAGAAAGGAAUUUCAGGGAAUUCAUUAUUACAAAUACCCUUUUGAUAGAAAGCUGAUUUGGGAGUUAGAGCUAGCAAUAAAGGGUGUAAUUUUUCUUCGGUUUCCUUUGACUGAUUGGAUGAGGGGUAGGGCGUGGAAAAAUACGAGAUGGGGUGGGAGUGCACCGGAGGAUUUCCAAUGAGGAUUAAGCGGGAGAGGUGGUGGGCUGUGGUGGAGGAGAGGAGAAGCUGGAGAUGGCCGGAGAAAGUGGAGAAAAUCCAGUCGGAUUCGCGACCGGGUGGUACCCACAUGGCGGCGAUUCUGGCGGCGGAUGAAGACGGAGAGUCGAGAACGGAGACGCGGAGGUGGUGGUUGGAAAGAGGCUUAGGGAAUGUGAAGGUCAUGUAGCGGGAAGGGACUAUGGUUUCAAAGGUGGUCGGAUCGAGUGACAUUGUUGAAUUUGAGUGGGUUUCGAUUUGUGAGGAUGAUGAGAGGAACACAAUAUUUAUUAUUUAUUAUUGGUAAAAAUAUAUAAAAAGCAUAUUAAUUUAUAAUUUAAAU